rnacentral:rRNA from 1 species
AGAGUUUGAUCAUGGCUCAGGACGAACGCUGGCGGCGUGCUUAACACAUGCAAGUCGAACGGUAAGGCCCUUCGGGGUACACGAGUGGCGAACGGGUGAGUAACACGUGGGUGAUCUGCCCUGCACUUCGGGAUAAGCUUGGGAAACUGGGGUCUAAUACCGGGAUAGGACCACGGUCUGCAUGGAUUGUGGUGGAAAGCUUUUGCGGUGUGGGAUGGGCCCGCGGCCUAUCAGCUUGUUGGUGGGGUGAUGGCCUACCAAGGCGACGACGGGGUAGCCGGCCUGAGAGGGUGUCCGGCCACACUGGGACUGAGAUACGGCCCAGACUCCUACGGGAGGCAGCAGUGGGGAAUAUUGCACAAUGGGCGCAAGCCUGAUGCAGCGACGCCGCGUGGGGGAUGACGGCCUUCGGGUUGUAAACCUCUUUCAGCAUCGACGAAGCGCAAGUGACGGUAGAUGCAGAAGAAGCACCGGCCAACUACGUG